GGUGAGAUUCUGCUUGCACGAGACGAGCUUCUGCGUCGUGUGCUGCCAUUUGGCUUCAGGAGGAAAAGAAGGAGACGAGCUGCACAGGAACUCAGACGCGAUGGAGAUCUUCUCCCGGACAUGCUUCCUCCCUCAUCCUUCACUUGAUCUGCCCACGAAGAUACUAGAUCAUGAGUAAGAACACCAACACGAAUCCGUUCUGGCUAAGAUUUCAUCGACAUCAGCGACGCAAGACUUACCACAUCGCUGUUUGACAUAAUGCAGUCGGGUCAUACUGCUCGGCGAUUUGAACUACAGGGUCUCGUUGCCGGAGGCCACCACACUGUCAUUGGUGGAACAGAAGAACUGGAACGUGUUGCUGGAGAAGGAUCAGGUACAAAGAGC
rnacentral:lncRNA from 1 species